rnacentral:rRNA from 1 species
UUAAGUCCCGCAACGAGCGCAACCCCCGCCGUUAGUUGCCAGCGGUUCGGCCGGGCACUCUAACGGGACUGCCCGCGAAAGCGGGAGGAAGAGGGGACGACGUCUGGUCAGCAUGGCCCUUACGGCCUGGGCGACACACGUGCUACAAUGCCCACUACAAAGCGAGGCCACCCGGCAACGGGGAGCUAAUCGCAAAAAGGUGGGCCCAGUUCGGAUUGGGGUCUGCAACCCGACCCCAUGAAGCCGGAAUCGCUAGUAAUCGCGGAUCAGCCAUGCCGCGGUGAAUACGUUCCCGGGCCUU